UAAGGAAUCUUCCGCAAUGGGCGAAAGCCUGACGGAGCGACACCGCGUGGUGGAUGACGGCCUAUGGGUUGUAAACACCUUUUCUAUGGGAAGAAGAUCUGACGGUACCAUAGGAAUAAGCCCCGGCUAAUUACGUGCCAGCAGCCGCGGUAAUACGUAAGGGGCAAGCGUUACCCGGAAUUAUUGGGCGUAAAGCGUCCGCAGGUGGAAGUAUAAGUCAGUUAUUAAAUACCGGUGCUCAACAUCGGUGCUGUAACCGAAACUGUAUUUCUAGAGGAUGGGAGAGGUAUAUGGAAUUGUGCAAGUAGGGGUAAAAUCCGUAGAUAUGCACAGGAACACCAAAAGCGAAG
rnacentral:rRNA from 1 species